UCCGCAACGGAGAAAACUAUUUUGUAAGGGUGACAAAAUAACCAAUAAGAUCUUUCAAAAUAGCAUUUUUGGGGGCUUGGCUUACAUUUGACAUGAUUUUUCAUUUAAUAGUCAUAUAGUACAAAAAGCACCAUUCUGAUAUCAGCUCGAGUUUCUAAUUUAUUCGUGCUUUCAAAACAAGCUGAGUUGAAUAAGAACUCUCUGACUUCAUUUUUUUGUUCUAAAAAACACCAUCUUAAGUGAAAAUGGGUAAAUUUUGUUGGCAAACUCUAACUUUGACCAUUACAAUUCUAGCGUGUUUCGUCAUUCAAAUAUGCCAGUCGAAAUACACUAACACAGCAUACAACUGGCACAAAGUCAGUGCCAAAGAUUAUCCGGACCAACAUCUUCAGCUACUCCACUACUCCAGAGGUCUGAAAAACAUCAAGCGAAACUGGAGCUCAAUGCGGGGCAAGAGAUUCUAUGACAUGUAUGGUUCUGAAAAUACAGAACGGUUGUAAAUUAUCGUACAAAAACCAAAAAAAAAACGUUCCAGUAAAAUGGAGCUUUUUUUUCAGUUUCAGUCGAAUAAUUAAUUCAAACUGAGAAGUAUUUGAUUAAUAUGUGCUGAUUCUGUGUCUGAAUUCAAGAAUAAAAUUUUCUACAUUG